rnacentral:rRNA from 1 species
AUUGAACGCUGGCGGCAGGCCUAACACAUGCAAGUCGAGCGAGGGGCGGACGGGUGAGUAGUGCCUGGGCAUUGCCCAGUAGAGGGACAUAACAGUUGGAAACGACUGCUAAUACCUCAGACUAAUGGAUUUGCAAGGUGGGAUUGGCUAGUUGGUGAGGUAAUGGCUAACCAAGGCGACGCUCCCUAGCUGGUCUGAGUGGAUGAUCAGCCACACUGGAACUGAGACACGGCCCAGACUCCUACGGGAGGCACCAGUGGGGAAUAUUGCACAAUGGGCGAAACCCUGAUGCAGCCAUGCCGCGUGUGUGAAGAAGGCCUUCGGGUUGUAAAGCACUUUCAGUGAGGAGGCGUUACUCACCCAAGAAGCACCGGCUAACUCCGUGCCAGCAGCCGCGGUAAUUC